CCACGGGAUACAGCAGUAAUUAAAAUUAAGCAAUAAACGAAAGUUUGACUAAGUUAUGCAACAUUAUAUAGGGUUGGUAAAUUUCGUGCCAGCCACCGCGGUCAUACGAUUAACCCUAAUUAAUAAAGCCCGGCGUAAAGAGUGUUAAAAUUACAAAAACAAUAAGAUUAAAUUUUACCUAAGUCGUAAAAAACAACAGAUAAAAAUAAAAUCAUAAACGAAAGUAAUCUUAAUAAAUCUGAAUACACUAAAGCUAAGACCCAAACUGGGAUUAGAUACCCCACUAUGCUUAGCCAUAAACAAAGAUAUUUAAUAACAAAAAUUUUCGCCAGAGUACUACUAGCAACAGCUUAAAACUCAAAGGACUUGGCGGUGCUUUAAACCCACCUAGAGGAGCCUGUUCUAUAAUCGAUAAACCCCGAUAUACCUUACCACUUCUUGCUAAUCCAGUCUAUAUACCGCCAUCUCCAGCAAACCCCAACAGGGAUUAAAAGUAAGCACAACUAUGCUCGUAAAAACGUUAGGUCAAGGUGUAACUAAUGAAGUGGAAAGCAAUGGGCUACAUUUUCUUCUUCCAAGAAAACAACAACAGUAAUCUUUAUGAAAUUAAAGAUUUAAGGAGGAUUUAGUAGUAAAUUAAGAAUAGAGAGCUUAAUUGAAUUAGGCAAUAAAGCACGCACACACC
rnacentral:rRNA from 1 species